CUUGGCCACACAAUUAUCAAUUACACAAAUAAUUGAGCGAAUGUAUGUGUAUCCACGUUGGUGGUACUGCGAAAGAGAAAACGGAGCAACACAAAGAAGCUUAAUUAAUGUAAAUUAUGAACAUAGGAUAGGAAAUGGCAAAAAUAUGCUGCUGGAGUGGAACACCUCCACUACAACCUUUACAAAAGCAGUUUCGAAGGAAUCACGGCGUCCAAAACUGCUCAAACACUAACACACUGAAUAGGAGGAAGAUAUAUGCAUGCUUGAACAGAGAAAAAGAAAGUGAAACACCUCAGAUAUUGAAAAUAGCGGUGAGCGGGGUAACGGAACUCUUGAGGCUUUUCUCUCCUUCUUCCCAUCAAACAAGCCUUGAGAAACAGAGAGAUCAAAUUGAAUUCCCAGCUUCGAGCGUCGAUGAUGUUCUAAGGAUCAUCAAGUCUGAUUACGACAACGCUUAUUUCGUAACAGGGAACUUCUCUUCUUCAAUUUAUGCUGAGAACUGUAUCUUUGAAGACCCAACUAUUAAAUUUCGCGGUAGGGAGUUAUAUGCGCGCAACUUGAAAUUGCUUGUUCCCUUCUUUGACUCUGCAUCAAUUAUACUACAAAAGAUUGAUAAGGAUGUUGACUCUGACACAAAUUUUGUGCUGGCAUCUUGGAAACUAAGGACCAACUUAAAGCUUCCUUGGAGGCCUCUAAUUUCAAUCGAUGGAAGCACAGUUUAUGAAUUAAAUGAAGAUUACAAAAUUGUUAGACAUGUUGAGAGUUGGAACAUUUCUGCAGUUGAAGCAGUUUUGCAGAUUUUCUCCUUUAAGUCUAAAAACCCAGGUGGUUGAGACAUCGAGUGUCAUGAAAUUAUCCAUGUGUCACUCUCUGUUGGCACUUUCAAACGGAGUCACUUGAAGCAUUGGACAUAAAAUGAUCGUGCCAUAUGUUUUCGCACGGAAGCAAAGGGAGGCGAGAAGACAACUGACUUUUCACAUUAUCCAGUUUUUUCUAUUAAACAGCUGACAUAUAGAUUAUAGAGUGUUAAAUUUAUAUAAAAAAAAAUCCAUAUCAAUAGUUUUAACUGUUGUUUUAUUUGCAUAACAAGUAAAUUGCUUGAUUAUAAUAUCUAUUUAAAUUCAUGGUUG